rnacentral:rRNA from 1 species
AGAUUGAACGCUGGCGGCAUGCCUAACACAUGCAAGUCGAACGGGAGUAGCAAUACUCUAGUGGCGGACGGGUGAGGAAUACGUAGGAAUUUGCCCUUAAGUGGGGGAUAACCCGGGGAAACCCGGAUUAAUACCGCAUGACCUCGAAAGAGCAAAGUGGGGGAUCGCAAGACCUCACGCUUUUGGAGAAGCCUACGUCGGAUUAGCUAGUUGGUGAGGUAAUGGCUCACCAAGGCGACGAUCCGUAACUGGUCUGAGAGGAUGAUCAGUCACACCGGAACUGAGACACGGUCCGGACUCCGUACGGGAGCAGCAGUGGGGAAUAUUGGACAAGUGGGCGCAAGCCUGAU